rnacentral:rRNA from 1 species
UGGGUUAAGUCCCGUACGAGCGCACCCUUGUCCUUAGUUGCUAGCAGGUAAUGCUNCANACUCUAGGGAGACUGCCGGUGACAAACCGGAGGAAGGUGGGGACGACGUCAAGUCAUCAUGGCCCUUACGUCCUGGGCUACACACGUGCUACAAUGGUUGGUACAGACGGUCGCUAAGCCGCGAGGUGGAGCUAAUCCGAAAAAACCAAUCGUAGUCCGGAUUGGAGUCUGCAACUCGACUCCAUGAAGUCGGAAUCGCUAGUAAUCGUGAAUCAGAAUGUCACGGUGAAUACGUUCCCGGGCCUUGUACACACCGCCCGUCACACCAUGGGAGUGGGUUGCUCCAGAAGUGGCUAGUCUAACCUUCGGGGGGACGGUCACCACGGAGUGAUUCAUGACUGGGGUGAAGUCGUAACAAGGUAA